rnacentral:rRNA from 1 species
UACGUAGGGUGCAAGCGUUAUCCGGAAUUAUUGGGCGUAAAGAGCUCGUAGGCGGUUUGUCGCGUCUGCUGUGAAAACCCGAGGCUCAACCUCGGGCCUGCAGUGGGUACGGGCAGACUAGAGUGCGGUAGGGGAGAUUGGAAUUCCUGGUGUAGCGGUGGAAUGCGCAGAUAUCAGGAGGAACACCGGUGGCGAAGGCGGGUCUCUGGGCCGAUAUUGACGCUGAGGAGCGAAAGCGUGGGGAGCGAACAGG